CCUGACCUUCUGAAUACUCAAUUUUUAAAUAUUUUUUUAAAAUUGACAUUAAAAUUUGAAUGAUCAAAUCAUAGGAAACAUGUGUAUUUUAAAAGUUUUAAGUUGAUAAGACUUCAACUUCAUCAAAAACUACCUUGACCAAAAACUUUAACCUGAAGCAGGACAGACGGACGGACGAACGAACGAACGAACGGCCGCACAGACCAGAAAACAUAAAUUGGACAUAAAAAUAACUUUCACCUAUCUAAUAACCCGGUAACCUGUACACAAUCGGCGCAAAUGAAAGACAAAAUGAAAGAAUAAAAAAAA
rnacentral:lncRNA from 1 species